rnacentral:rRNA from 1 species
UACGAAGGGGGCGAGCGUUGUUCGGAUUUACUGGGCGUAAAGGGCGCGCAGGCGGCGCAUUUUGUCAGGCGUGAAAGCCCCGGGCUUAACCUGGGAACUGCGUUUGAUACGGAUGGGCUAGAGUUCGGGAGAGGAGAGUGGAAUUCCUGGUGUAGCGGUGAAAUGCGCAGAUAUCAGGAAGAACACCCGUGGCGAAAGCGGCUCUCUGGAACGGUACUGACGCUGAGACGCGAAAGCGUGGGGAGCGAACAGG